UACAUGGGGUGCAAACGUUGCUCGGAAUCACUGGGCGUAAAGGGUGCGUAGGCGGGUUUUUAAGUCAGAGGUGAAAUCCUGGAGCUCAACUCCAGAACUGCCUUUGAUACUGAGGAUCUUGAGUUCGGGAGAGGUGAGUGGAACUGCGAGUGUAGAGGUGAAAUUCGUAGAUAUUCGCAAGAACACCAGUGGCGAAGGCGGCUCACUGGCCCGAUACUGACGCUGAGGCACGAAAGCGUGGGGAGCAAACAGG
rnacentral:rRNA from 1 species